GUGGUCUGGGGCAUGGCUCCUGGAUUCUAUUGCCUUCGGGCAGUGGGUCUGUGCCAGGCAGCUUAACCUGGACCUAGAUAAAACCCCAGGAUAGACCAGAUGUCUACCUGUGCAGUAACAGGUGUGAGCACAUCACAGUAUCUUGUGCUCAUGUAUAGUACUGCACACAGCU